GAUGAACGCUAGCGGCAGGCUUAAUACAUGCAAGUUGAGGGGCAGCAUGAUAUACGCGAGUAUAUUGAUGGCGACCGGCGGACGGGUGAGUAAUAGGUAGGAGACCUACCUCAUACAGGGGGAUAGCAUAGAGAAAUCUGUGGUAAUACCCCAUGAGGUUAUAUGAAUAGAGGCAUAUAAUCAAAGCAUAAGCGAUUAUGCGGUAUGAGAGGGGCCUACUGACCAUUAGCUAGUUGGUGAGGUAAGGGCUCACCAAGGCGAAGAUGGUUAGGGGUUUUGAGAGAGAGACCCCCCACAUUGGAACUGAGAGACGGUCCAGGCUCCUACGGGAGGCAGCAGUAGGGAAUAUUGGGCAAUGGGCGAAAGCCUGACCCAGCCAUGCCGCGUGAAGGAAGACGGCCUUAUGGGUUGUAAACUUCUUUACUACGCGAAUAGAGGUUAGUACGAGAUACUAAUAGGAAGGUAGUGUAGUAAAAAGACACCGGCUAACUCCGUG
rnacentral:rRNA from 1 species